CCUACGGGUGGCAGCAGUGGGGGAUAUUGGACAAUGGGGGGAACCCUGAUCCAGCGACGCCGCGUGAGUGAAGAAGUAUUUCGGUAUGUACAGCUCUGUCAGCAGGGAAGACAGCAUUGACGGUACCUGCAAAGGAAGCACCGGCUAACUCCGUGCCAGCAGCCGCGGUAAUACGGAGGGUGCGAGCGUUAAUCGGAAUUACUGGGCGUAAAGCGCUCGUAGGCGGUAUGUCAAGUCAAGGGUGAAAUCCCCGCGCUCAACGUGGGAACUGCCUUUGAAACUGGCAAACUGGAGUGUGUGAGAGGAUAGUGGAAUUCCAGGUGUAGGAGUGAAAUCCGUAGAUAGCUGGAGGAACAUCAGUGGCGAAGGCGACUAUCUGGCACAUAACUGACGCUGAGGAGCGAAAGCGUGGGUAGCAAACAGGAUUAGAUACCCCAGUAGUC
rnacentral:rRNA from 1 species